rnacentral:rRNA from 1 species
UGAGGAAUAUUGGUCAAUGGGCGUGAGCCUGAACCAGCCAAGUAGCGUGCAGGAAGACGGCCCUAUGGGUUGUAAACUGCUUUUAUGCGGGGAUAAAGGAGUCCACGUGUGGAUUUUUGCAGGUACCGCAUGAAUAAGGACCGGCUAAUUCCGUGCCAGCAGCCGCGGUAAUACGGAAGGUCCGGGCGUUAUCCGGAUUUAUUGGGUUUUAAGGGAGCGUAGGCCGCGUUUUAAGCGUGUUGUGAAAUGUAGACGCCCAACGUCUGCAACGCGGCGCGAACAGGGACGCUUGAGUACGCACAACGUUGGCGGAGUUCGUCGUGUAGCGGUGAAAUGCUUGGAUAUGACGAGGAACUCCGAUUGCGAAGGCGGCUGACGGGGGCGGCAAUGACGCUUAAGCUCGAAGGUGCGGGUAUCAAACAGG